rnacentral:misc_RNA from 1 species
AAGUCGUAACAAGGUUUCCGUAGGUGAACCUGCGGAAGGAUCAUUACCGAGAUAAUUCUUUUUUCUUUUUUGAAUCAAGAAUCUCCCACCCAAUGUGUUACCAAUUUUAUUGAUACUUUGGUGAAGCGUUUGCUUUCACAAGUGAACCAUCGACUUGAAAGAGUGGAUGUGUCUUUGCCAAAGGAACCCCUUAACUCUUUUUAUUUAAUAAUUGUCUGAGUUUAUAUUUUAAAUAAACAAAACUUUCAACAACGGAUCUCUUGGUUCUG